AGCAGUCGCCGCGGGAAUACGAAGGGUGCAAGCGUUACUCGGAAUUACUGGGCGUAAAGCGUGCGUAGGUGGUGGUUUAAGUCCGUUGUGAAAGCCCUGGGCUCAACCUGGGAAUUGCAGUGGAUACUGGGUCACUAGAGUGUGGUAGAGGAUAGUGGAAUUUCCGGUGUAGCAGUGAAAUGCGUAGAGAUCGGAAGGAACAUCUGUGGCGAAGGCGACUAUCUGGGCCAACACUGACACUGAGGCACGAAAGCGUGGGGAGCAAACAGGAUUAGAUACCCGUGUAGUCCCUGUCUCUUAUAC
rnacentral:rRNA from 1 species